rnacentral:rRNA from 1 species
GCCUACGGGAGGCAGCAGUAGGGAAUCUUCCACAAUGGGCGAAAGCCUGAUGGAGCAACGCCGCGUGGGUGAAGAAGGUCUUCGGAUCGUAAAACCCUGUUGUUAGAGAAGAAAGUGCGUGAGAGUAACUGUUCACGUUUCGACGGUAUCUAACCAGAAAGCCACGGCUAACUACGUGCCAGCAGCCGCGGUAAUACGUAGGUGGCAAGCGUUAUCCAGAUUUAUUGGGCGUAAAGGGAACGCAGGCGGUCUUUUAAGUCUGAUGUGAAAGCAUUCGGCUUAACCGGAGUAGUGCAUUGGAAACU